GCUGCGCAUGUUUCUCAUCCGUAACCCUAACCCUAAAAAUCAUCCAUCUCUUCUGCCGCCGCCGAAUCUUUUUUCAACUCCGCCCUCUUUCUCUUUAUGGUUGCCAUGGCACUGCUACCUUUCUCUUCUCAUCUUGCCGCUUCCACUCCCAAGGUGUGAAAGCUGAAGCAGCAUGAGCAUAAGAAAACGUCCACAAUAUUGGUGAUAAAUUGGUUCUGUCGAAGUUCGUCAGAGAUCGGAAGGAUAUUAGCUCAGAAGCUUCAUCUCACUUGGACACAAUGUGAUGUUCAAAAAAAAAAAUGAAGUGUGAAAGUUGAAGCUGACGCUGCAGUAGCAAGAAAAAUCCAAGAAAUAGUUCUAACCGGUGUUUAGGUGAUCAGGUUAUGCUUUGGAUAUACAACGGACAAAGUAUGGUUACAUGGACACUAUGAAACUACAUGUUGAAACCUUUAAAUGUAUUAAGAAGAAUUAUGGAUGUGGUGAUGAUCUCUGGAUUUGUUGAGUUUAUUUAUUCAUUUAUAAUAUAGUUUGUCAUCUUUGUACUUUGAAGAUGUAUGUGGUUAUGUUUUGUAUUUAGGGUGGACAAUGGAUUGAAAUUUCUUAGGUGGUUGUGAUGUUAGUCUAUGCACUUAUUAUAUUGUGUCCAGGUUGAACAAAGAUUUUGUCUUUGCGUUCUUUUUUGUUGAAUCUCAUAAUGUUAGCUUUUUUGCA